rnacentral:rRNA from 1 species
AAGGAUCAUUACCGAGUGCGGGUCCUUUGGGCCAACCUCCCAUCCGUGUCUAUUGUACCCUGUUGCUUCGGCGGGCCCGCCGCUUGUCGGCCGCCGGGGGGGCGCCUCUGCCCCCCGGGCCCGUGCCCGCCGGAGACCCCAACACGAACACUGUCUGAAAGCCUGCAGUCUGAGUUGAUUGAAUGCAAUCAGUUAAAACUUUCAACAAUGGAUCUCUUGGUUCCGGCAUCGAUGAAGAACGCAGCGAAAUGCGAUAACUAAUGUGAAUUGCAGAAUUCAGUGAAUCAUCGAGUCUUUGAACGCACAUUGCGCCCCCUGGUAUUCCGGGGGGCAUGCCUGUCCGAGCGUCAUUGCUGCCCUCAAGCCCGGCUUGUGUGUUGGGUCGCCGUCCCCCUCUCCGGGGGGACGGGCCCGAAAGGCAGCGGCGGCACCGCGUCCGAUCCUCGAGCGUAUGGGGCUUUGUCACAUGCUCUGUAGGAUUGGCCGGCGCCUGCCGACGUUUUCCAACCAUUCUUUCCAGGUUGACCUCGGAUCAGGUAGGGAUACCAUCGCUGGAACUUAA